CCUUAGCAAGUUUUGGCAUCUUUUUUUGUUAUUUUGGGUUUAUUGCUGUCCAAUCUUUACUACAUAUUAGUUUCGUUGGCCUUGUUAACACUCUCAUUGGUACAGUUCUUGCCAGAUUUUAAUAAAACUUAUACUAAAGUUAAUAUUAGCAAUAGCUCAGACAAGUGUUUUAAUUGUGGUCGAUUACCUUUUUCUAAAAGAGUUAUGCCCUUGGAAAAAUAAAAAAUGUGCAACAUGGGGGACAUUGGAACUCUGUUCUUUCAUUCAUUUUUGGUU
rnacentral:lncRNA from 1 species